rnacentral:lncRNA from 1 species
AGGUAAAAGCGCCGCGGAUGGAGCUCAGCAGGCUCUCAGUGCUCCGCCUGUCACAUGAUCAACCCUGGCAACCACAAGCCCUGUUGCUGCACGGCCGAUGCUCCCAUGGGAAGGAGCUGAACCAGUGUCUUGGGACCCUGUGGUGACACCAGGUCAGAGGAAACAGACACACUCAGCUUCCCAUGAGUGCAUGAAAGAUCCAGGCUGGAGCCUUCUCUGGAAGGAAGUUGGUCUGGGGUGGGGCCGAGGGGGCCGAGUCUCCCAUACCUGAAGGAAGAGACGGUUAGACAUUGCACGUGUGUAUUCUCAUCCCUCCGUCUCCUCUCUCACGAAGGCAUUUUCUUGAGUGCUUCCUCUCAUGAACACUCUUCAGUGGGCCCACUGCACACCAUUCCUCUGCCUUCUUUUUCUCCACCUACUAGCAAGGCUA